rnacentral:rRNA from 1 species
GAUGAACGCUGGCGGCGUGCUUAACACAUGCAAGUCGAACGGAAAGGCUCCUGCUUGCAGGGGUACUCGAGUGGCGAACGGGUGAGUAACACGUGGGUGAUCUGCCCUGCACUUCGGGAUAAGCCUGGGAAACUGGGUCUAAUACCGGAUAGGACGAUGGUUUGGAUGCCAUUGUGGAAAGUUUUUCGGUGUGGGAUGAGCUCGCGGCCUAUCAGCUUGUUGGUGGGGUAAUGGCCUACCAAGGCGUCGACGGGUAGCCGGCCUGAGAGGGUGUACGGCCACAGUGGGACUGAGAUACGGCCCAGACUCCUACGGGAGGCAGCAGGGGGGAAGAUUGCACAAUGGGCGCAAGCCUGAUGCAGCGACGCCGCGUGGGGGAUGACGGCCUUCGGGUUGUAAACUCAUUUCGCUAGGGACGAAGCGUUUUGUGACGGUACCUGGAGAAGAAGCACCGGCUAACUACGUG